CAGCAGUGCGUUAAGCAGAGAGGAGAGCAGCAGCAGAGUGAGGCCGGAGAGCAGAAAACCUCCCAGGUAGAGAAAACUGCGGCGCCGGGCAUAGAGAGCACUGAGUGAGAAACAGCCGAAGAUGGCGGCCGUGCCCAGGAAGGCGGUGGGGAUAAUGCUGGGGUUGAUGGCGAUGCACAUCUGCAGGAGGGGCCCCAGGUUGAUGCCUGUGAGGAAGGCAAAGCCUGCCAGCAUCCCCAGCCGCUGCUGCUCCGUCUCUCUGCUGUGGGGCGUCGCUGUCAGCCACACCAUCAGCCCCAGGGAGCCCAAACCACUCAGCAGGCUGAACUGGAACAGAUGGGUGACCACAUUGACGUACGCCCCCACGGCCGCCAGCAGCAUACAGAGAGCAAAGCUGCCAUAGACCCUCUUCAGGUGCUCCUGGGUGGAGGCUGAGAUAUGGGAGAACUUGAAGAGGGCAUCCAAGUUGAUGCUGCGGUCAAAGACGUUCAUUGUGCCCAAUGAGCGACGGCUGCACUGAGCUGCAGGCUG
rnacentral:lncRNA from 1 species